rnacentral:piRNA from 1 species
UGCAAGGUACUAGAUUGGAUGCCCUGA